UGCCAGCCGCCGCGGUAACACGGGGGGCGCAAGCGUUAUUCGGAAUUAUUGGGCGUAAAGGGCGCGUAGGCGGUCUUAUCGGUCAGAUGUGAAAGCCCGGGGCUCAACCCCGGACGUGCAUUGGAAACUGGCGAACUUGAGUACGGGAGAGGAAAGUGGAAUUCCGAGUGUAGGGGUGAAAUCCGUAGAUAUUCGGAGGAACACCAGUGGCGAAGGCGGCUCACUGGCUCGAUACUGACGCUGAGGUGCGAAAGUGUGGGGAGCAAACAGGAUUAGAUA
rnacentral:rRNA from 1 species